rnacentral:lncRNA from 1 species
GUGGCUAACCAACAACGCUUUCUCCCCACCAACGAUCACAAGCUUCCCAUUCUUCACAAAUUUAAGUUUUUGGUGUAAUAUGGAGGUAACAGCUCCUGCCUCAUGAAUCCAUGGCCUUCCCAACAAGCAACUGUAGGCCGGGUGGAUAUCCAUUACUUGAAAAGUAAUCUGAAAAUCACUCGGACCUAUCUUAACCAGAGGGUCCACUUCACCAAUAACUGUUUUGCGCGAACCGUCA